GAUCCUGGCUCAGGAUGAACGCUAGCUACAGGCUUAACACAUGCAAGUCGAGGGGCAGCAUGGUCUUAGCUUGCUAAGGCUGAUGGCGACCGGCGCACGGGUGAGUAACACGUAUCCAACCUGCCGUCUACUCUUGGCCAGCCUUCUGAAGGAAGAUUAAUCCAGGAUGGGAGUCAUGAGUUCACAUGUCCGCCAUGAUUAAAGGUAAUUUACCGGUUAGUACGAUGGGAG
rnacentral:rRNA from 1 species